UUCAGGAUGGCCGAGUUGUUAUGGCAUCGGAUUUCUGAUCCGAUUCACUGUCCUGAGUGUAGGUUCGAUUCCUACUCCUGAAC
rnacentral:tRNA from 1 species